GAUGAAGAACGUAGCGAAAUGCGAUAAGUAGUGUGAAUUGCAGAAUUCAGUGAAUCAUCGAAUCUUUGAACGCACAUUGCACCCCUUGGUAUUCCAUGGGGCAUGCCUGUUCGAGCGUCAUUUGUACCUUCAAGCUCUGCUUGGUGUUGGGUGUUUGUCUCGCCUCUGCGUGUAGACUCGCCUCAAAACAAUUGGCAGCCGGCGUAUUGAUUUCGGAGCGCAGUACAUCUCGCGCUUUGCACUCAUAACGACGACGUCCAAAAGUACAUUUUUACACUCUUGACCUCGGAUCAGGUAGGGAUACCCGCUGAACUUAAGCAUAUCAAUAAGCGGAGGA
rnacentral:misc_RNA from 1 species